GCCAGUAUCCCAGGCACUCCCAUGUUUGUUCUCAGCUGGGCUUCACCCCCAGAGUGUGGGAAGUCCCUGGCUGCUCUGGCAUCUACUGCUAGAAACUGUCCUGUGUUUACAGAUUGUCUCAGUUCAGGGCGGAUUAUGAGAGGGUGGUAAGGAGAGGGUACUUUGUUCUAGUCUACCAACCAUGCAACCUACCAACCAUGAGACUGUGACUGUUGAACACCCAGGGGAGGCAGCUUGUAUCAUCACUUCAGAACCAUUCUGAUGUUCGUCUCUGGAUCCAGUCAAGCACAAAUUUUCUCCAUGGGGACAAAAUCGCAUCCAGUCUUUCUGCAAAACCUUAAACAAUGCCCCAUAUCGAGCAGAAUUAAAACAAGAAGCAUGUCUUCACAUGUCAACACAGCUUGGAUCUUACAUCGUCUGGACUUGAUGUCUGCAUGGUGGGACUGCCUUGCCUAUAGACUCACAAAGACGUCACUUCCCACCCCAGUAAUCAACAUGUGGAACUGGGGGGGGGGGCGCUGGGUAAACAUGAUCACUCUAAGACCCUUUCCCAGGGCCUUCACCAGUCCUCUACAGACAUGAAUGGACAGAAUAGUUUAAAAAAUUCAGGGGCUAGAGAAAUGGCUCAACAGUUAAGAGCACUGGCUGCUCUUCCAGAGGUCCUGAAUUCAAUUCACAGCACCCACAUGGCAGCUCACAGUUUUCUA